rnacentral:tRNA from 1 species
GCUCGGCUGGCUCAAUUGGAUAGAGCGCAAGACUUCUAAUCUUGAGGUUCUGGGUUCAAGUCCCAGGUCGAGUG